rnacentral:lncRNA from 1 species
GGCUUGUCUUCCCCCAGGGACAGCAGAGCAACCUUGGAAAAGCAGAGGGAAGCUUCUCCCUUGGCACACACUGGGGUGGCUGUACCAUGCCUGCAGAUGCUCCCAAAUAGAGGCACUCCAAGCACUUUGUUUCUUAGCGUGAUUGAGGCUGGAUAUGUGAUUUGAUCUUUCUCUGGAACAUUCUUUCUAAUCAUCUUUGUGUUCAUUCCCUGAAAAUGAAGAGUGUGGACACAGCUUUAAAAUCCCCAAGGUAGCAACUAGGUCAUAGUUCCUUACACACGGAUAGAUGAAAAACAGAUCAGACUGGGAAGUGGCCCUUGACCUUUUUUCUUCUGUAGAUAAGAGCAUUGAUGUUAUUACGGGAAGAAGCCUUUGAGGCUUUUAUGUAUUCCACCUCGGUCUGGAAUUUGUUUCUGUAAGGCUAACAGUUGCAAUAUACUAGGGUAAUCUGAGUGAGCUGGAAUUAAAAAAAAAAAGGAAUUUCACCCCAAUCUUAUACUGACUUCAAUAGAGGUUUCAGACAAAAAGUUGUUUUGUAUAUACUUAUCAGUCAUGAAAAGAUAAUUACAACUAAAUGGCCUUUUUCCUUCCCUAUUUAUUUGGAGAAAUUUAAUUACAUAAAAAAGUACUCAGAAUAUUUGAGUUUCCUGCAUCAAUAAGACAUUUAUAAUAAUGACCUUGUUUACAAAUGAAUUUGAAAGUUACUCUAAUUCUUUGAUUCAUCAAGAAAUAACUAGAAUGGCA